AUGUCUGUGCAAGUGGCCUCGCCGGCGACGGCAGGAGAGAGGACCAUGGCCACGACGGCGUGGCCGUACCUGGAGUACAUGGCGCAGUGGGAGCGGCAGGUGGAGCGGCGGCAGCUGUUCCUCCGGAGCUACCACUUCUCCCGCGACGCCGAGGUCUCGCCGCGCGCGCGCACGCGCCGCGUCGUCUGGGCCGGGGCGCGACGCCUGCGCCGCGCCGCCGCGAAGGGGCUCCGCCGGCUCCGCGCGCGCAUCCGCCUCUGCUUCGGCUGGGCCGCGCCCGCGCUCCGCCGCCGCUCCUCGCCCCGCCGGGGCGGCGUCCACGGGUUCCGCUACGGCCGCAUCCCCCGCGGAAAGGCGCCGCCGGCCGCCGCCAGCGCCGCGUCCGUCUGCUUCUGGUAG
rnacentral:rRNA from 1 species